rnacentral:misc_RNA from 1 species
AACGCACAUUGCGCCCGCUAGUAUUCUGGCGGGCAUGCCUGUUCGAGCGUCAUUUCGACCCUCAAGCCCUCCGGCUUGGUGUUGGGCGGUUCUACGGCAGCGGCCGUAGCCCCCGAAAUGCAGUGGCGGUACCGAAACGACCCCGAGCGCAGUACAUUCGCUCGCCCUGGGCGUCGUGGCGGGCAACCGGCCGUAAAACCCCUACGGGCGCCUCCGGGCCCCGCAGACAUUUAAGGUUGACCUCGGAUCAGGUAGGAAUACCCGCUGAACUUAA